GCCUUCGUGGUCUAGUUGGUGAUGACGUCGGUCUCAUAAUCCGAAGGUCUCCAGUUCGAACCUGGACGAGGGCA
rnacentral:tRNA from 1 species